rnacentral:piRNA from 1 species
UCCAAAGCUCUGUGGGGAACUGCCAA